GUCAUAACAAACGCGAGGACGGCUGUCUUCACAGCCGUUUCAAAAGAAAAAAUAAGGGAAUGUCUGCAAGAAUUGAAGGACGCACCAACGCUAGUCAUUCCUUCAAGCCAGACACCUGAAUGCUUAAGACACACCCAAGGGCGAGGUGACUCAAGCACAGCUCCCGGAAGACAGGGACUGAGGACACCGGAAUCCUCACCCUCCUCCAGGAGCCUGCUGGGAGUCCAGAGGCUGUGACGGGUGCCGAGAAGCCAUGAUGUGCGGUGCCUUCCGGUCCGCCGAUGCACGAUCAGAGCUUCUAGUUUGCAUCCGUGAAGUCAAGGCUCCAAGGACCAGCCCGAGUUAGUCUGUUGAAACUCACACCGGGGCUUGCUUUCGAUCAGAGACCCAUCUUUUUCCUUUGUGCCUUUGCCAGUGUACCCAAAAUCUUUUAACAACCGGUCUUCCUCUUGCCUGGCCUCUGGUCUUCUAUGGACAUCUGACUGUGGACCUUGAGCAGAGCUCAUUCCACCCCAGGAAAGUGCCUGAGACAUUUUAGAGUGAUCAGAGAUUGAACAAACUUUUCUUCCAUUCAAGAGGUUUUAAUAAACAACGGAUUCUGUGGAAACCUCUUGCAAUGCACAAUAUGUUUACACUGAGCUGAGAUAAAAAUAAAGCUUUCUUACAAAUUA